UCCCUGGUGGCUCAGCUGGUAAAGAAUCUGCCUGCAAUGCAGUAGACCUGGGUUCGAUCCCUGGCUUGGGAA
rnacentral:tRNA from 1 species